AACGAACGCUGGCGGCAGGCCUAACACAUGCAAGUCGAGCGAACCGCAAGGUUAGCGGCGGACGGGUGAGUAACGCGUGGGAACGUGCCCUUUGCUACGGAAUAGCCCUGGGAAACUGGGAGUAAUACCGUAUGUGCCCUUUGGGGGAAAGAUUUAUCGGCAAAGGAUCGGCCCGCGUUGGAUUAGGUAGUUGGUGGGGUAAUGGCCUACCAAGCCGACGAUCCAUAGCUGGUUUGAGAGGAUGAUCAGCCACACUGGGACUGAGACACGGCCCAGACUCCUACGGGAGGCAGCAGUGGGGAAUCUUAGACAAUGGGGGAAACCCUGAUCUAGCCAUGCCGCGUGAGCGACGAAGGCCUUAGGGUUGUAAAGCUCUUUCAGUGGGGAAGAUAAUGACGGUACCCACAGAAGAAGCCCCGGCUAACUCCGUGCCAGCCGCCGCAGUAA
rnacentral:rRNA from 1 species